CCUACGGGGGGCAGCAGUGGGGAAUCUUGCGCAAUGGGCGAAAGCCUGACGCAGCAACGCCGCGUGUGUGAUGAAGGUCUUCGGAUCGUAAAGCACUGUCGCGAGGGACGAAUAAGGGGCGGGCUAACAUCCCGUUCCGAUGACGGUACCUCGAGAGGAAGCACCGGCUAACUCUGUGCCAGCAGCCGCGGUAAUACAGAGGGUGCAAGCGUUGUUCGGAAUUAUUGGGCGUAAAGCGCGUGUAGGCGGCUCAGCAAGUCAGGUGUGAAAGCCCUCGGCUUAACCGAGGAAGUGCGCCUGAAACUACUGAGCUUGAGUGACGGAGAGGGUGGCGGAAUUCCCGGUGUAGAGGUGAAAUUCGUAGAUAUCGGGAGGAACACCAGUGGCGAAGGCGGCCACCUGGACGUCUACUGACGCUGAGACGCGAAAGCGUGGGGAGCAAACAGGAUUAGAUACCCCAGUAGUC
rnacentral:rRNA from 1 species